rnacentral:tRNA from 1 species
GACGGAAUCAGCUAACGAAGCUUUCGGGCCCAUACCCCGGACAUGAUGGUUAAAACCCCUCCUCCGCCA